rnacentral:rRNA from 1 species
GUACGGGAGGCAGCAGUGAGGAAUAUUGGUCAAUGGGCGCAAGCCUGAACCAGCCAUCCCGCGUGCAGGAAGAAGGCGCUAUGCGUUGUAAACUGCUUUUCCAGGGGAAGAAAAUCUGGUACGAGUACCGGAUUGCCGGUACCUUGGGAAUAAGCAUCGGCUAACUCCGUGCCAGCAGCCGCGGUAAUACGGAGGAUGCGAGCGUUAUCCGGAUUUAUUGGGUUUAAAGGGUGCGUAGGCGGAUUAAUAAGUCAGUGGUGAAAUGCUGCAGCUUAACUGUAGAAUUGCCAUUGAUACUGUUAGUCUUGAGUACGGUCAAGGUAGGCGGAAUGUGUAAUGUAGCGGUGAAAUGCUUAGAUAUUACACAGAACACCGAUUGCGAAGGCAGCUUACUGGGCCGCAACUGACGCUGAUGCACGAAAGCGUGGGGAGCGAACAGGAUUAGAUACCCCGGU